rnacentral:rRNA from 1 species
GACGAACGCUGGCGGCGUGCUUAACACAUGCAAGUCGAGCGGUAAGGCCCUUUCGGGGGUACACGAGCGGCGAACGGGUGAGUAACACGUGGGUGACCUGCCUCUAGCUCUGGGAUAAGCCCGGGAAACUGGGUCUAAUACUGGAUAUGACUCCAUGACGCAUGUUGUGGGGUGGAAAGCCUUGUGCGGCUAGAGAUGGGCCCGCGGCCUAUCAGCUUGUUGGUGGGGNGAUGGCCUACCAAGGCGACGACGGGUAGCCGGCCUGAGAGGGCGACCGGCCACACUGGGACUGAGACACGGCCCAGACUCCUACGGGAGGCAGCAGUGGGGAAUCUUGCGCAAUGGGCGAAAGCCUGACGCAGCGACGCCGCGUGAGGGAUGACGGCCUGGUGUAA